rnacentral:rRNA from 1 species
UACGGAGGGUGCAAGCGUUAUUCGGAAUUAUUGGGUGUAAAGCGCGUGUAGGCGGUUUUGUGUGUCAGACGUGAAAGCCCGAGGCUUAACCUCGGAAGUGCGUUUGAAACUGCAAGGCUUGAGUCUCGGAGAGGAAAGUGGAAUUCCCAGUGUAGAAGUGAAAUUCGUAGAUAUUGGGAGGAACACCGGUGGCGAAAGCGACUUUCUGGACGAUGACUGACGCUAAGACGCGAAAGCGUGGGGAGCAAACAGG